rnacentral:rRNA from 1 species
UACAGAGGGUGCAAGCGUUAUUCGGAAUUAUUGGGCGUAAAGGGCGCGUAGGCGGCUUGGCAAGUGGAAGGUGAAAUCCCUCGGCUCAACUGAGGAACUGCCUUCCAGACUGCUUUGCUUGAGUCCGGGAGAGGUGAGUGGAAUUCCCAGUGUAGCGGUGAAAUGCGUAGAUAUUGGGAGGAACACCAGUGGCGAAGGCGGCUCACUGGACCGGAACUGACGCUGAGGCGCGAAAGCGUGGGGAGCAAACGGG